UACGUAGGGUGCAAGCGUUAAUCGGAAUUACUGGGCGUAAAGCGUGCGCAGGCGGUGAUGUAAGACAGUUGUGAAAUCCCCGGGCUCAGCCUGGGAACUGCAUCUGUGACUGCAUCGCUGGAGUACGGUAGAGGGGGAUGGAAUUCCGCGUGUAGCAGUGAAAUGCGUAGAUAUGCGGAGGAACACCGAUGGCGAAGGCAAUCCCCUGGACCUGUACUGACGCUCAUGCACGAAAGCGUGGGGAGCAAACAGG
rnacentral:rRNA from 1 species